rnacentral:rRNA from 1 species
AGAACGAACGCUGGCGGCAGGCUUAACACAUGCAAGUCGAGCGGAAAGGCCCUUCGGGGUACUCGAGCGGCGAACGGGUGAGUAACACGUGAGCAACCUGCCCUUAGCUCCGGGAUAGCUCCGGGAAACCGGAAUUAAUACCGGAUACGACCACGGCCGACAUCUGCUGUGGUGGAAAGGAUUCCGGCUAAGGAUGGGCUCGCGGCCUAUCAGCUAGUUGGUGGAGUAACGGCCCACCAAGGCGACGACGGGUA